rnacentral:lncRNA from 1 species
UCGUUUGAAGAUGAUUUUGUGGAAGACGAUGAGAUGAACAUGAUUGAUGAAGACGUAGCAUCUGACUCCGAAGCAGAGUCUUUGUCAGAUUCCGAUUCAGAAAACGCGAUCACUGAGAAGCUACCUGAGCCGACAAAGACUGCUGUCUACAACAGAGAUGGGCUUCUUGAUAAGCUUCAAGACAUAAGCUGGCCAGAAGAUGCUGAUUGGACUCAUAAGCUCACCGUCGAGAUUGAGCAAGGACAAGCCGUUGAUGUAAACGACGACCUCGCUAGAGAGAUGGCCUUCUACACUCAAGCACUCGAAGGGACGAGGCAGGCUUUCGAGAAGCUCCAGGAGAUGGGACUGCCUUUCCUAAGGCCGGCGGAUUACUACGCGGAGAUGGUGAAAUCAGAUACGCACAUGGAGAAGGUGAAGUCUAAGCUUCUGUACGAGAAGAAACAGAUGGAGGAGUCUGAGGAGAGGAGGAAAGCGAGGGAUAACAAGAAGAUGGCUAAGGAAGUACAGUCUCAGAAGAUGAAGGAGCGCGCUAAGCAGAAGAAGGAUGAGAUUGAGUCUGUCAAGAAGUGGAGGAAACAGAGGCAGCAGAGCGGGUUUAGUGAGAAAGGAGCAGGAGAGCUUGAUCUUGAGUUUGGAAAUGGGAAGAGUUUCCAGAGAGGAGGUGGGAAGAAGAGGCCGGGUGUGUCUCCUGGUGAUCGAUCGGGAGGUAAAGGGAAGCCUACUUCGAGGAUGAACAAUAAGAAGAGGGAGUUUAGGGACUCCAAGUUUGGUCAUGGUGGAAGGAAAGGGUUGAGCAAGCAGAACACUGCAGAGACGACGAAUGAUUUCAAAGGAGGGUUUCGUGGAGGCAAAGCUGGUGGAAACAAGAGACAGAAGAGAUAAACAAGGUUUGGUUAUCUAAACUCAUCUACAGUUUCAUCACUACAAACUAUUUUGUCAUCUUGGAUUAUGUUUUGAGAGAAUGUUUCUUUGAAUUUUUGUAAGGGUCUUCGGACCAAUAUAUUUUAGUUAAGAGUGUUGUACUAAAUGAUUACUUGAAUCAACAAAGCUCAACGUGUUUUCAAAGAAGCUAGAGGUGGCAAGUUGUUUCUUCUUCCAAAAUUCAUCAUUGAAGAAAUAUGAUUUUAACUAAUUAAAAGAUGAUGAUUAUUGAAGUUUUAGGCCGUGGAUUUAAAGUCAAACUCGAGCCCUCUCUCUCUUUUUUUUAGAAGAAUCCACCAAUAUAGAUUCUGUUUUUGCUUUUCCUUCGCCUCCUGUGCGGCCCGACUCCCUCUUCCUCUUGCUUACUAUUUGUAUGAAUCUUGGGAAGUUUUAUGCCUCCUGUGCACUUUUUCAAGAUGAUGUGAAAAAUGAAAAAUCAGUUUUCAUAUAGUUUUAUGGACCAAGCUGGUGUAUUGUUAUCAUUUUGGUUGAGUUUAGAGUUUAUUUAGUGAGGAUUGAUCUCCAUGGAAUUCAUAAUAACGUUGCUUAAUCUAUAAAGGUAACAAAUCAAUUCAGUCCCCUAUCUAAUUCGUCAGAACAAGUCCAUAUAUACAGUUUGUCAGUUUCACUACAAUGGCUUAUUACUAUAUGUUGUAUAGCACCAAAGAUAAUAAAUUUGUGAUCUGGAGUCCUGUUGUUCAGGUGAAAUAAGGUAAGAUUAAGCAUAGAAAAGGGUACAAAAUUCGAUUUCUCAUGCAACCAGUACAAAAUCUUGAGUGUGGCCACAUGCUUUUUUUUUCAUGUUAAAAAAAGUAUAGUAAUAUAUUUGUGGGCUAAGGCCGGAAAUAAAGAGAUUGAUGGGCCAAAUAAUGAAAGCCUAUAGAGGAAUUUAGUAAAUCACUUCACCCUUCUUCGAGACGCCGGAGAAAAGCAAAAUAGGAAUCGAACCUGAGCUAAACAGAUCUUUAAGCAUAGAAGAAGAUGGAGUGCGUAUUCGGUCUGGUUGGGAAAGGAUUCGCCAUCGUGGCGGCGGAUACAUCGGCGGUGCACAGUAUCCUUCUCCACAAAAACAACGAGGACAAGAUCAUGGUCCUUGACUCCCACAAGCUCAAAUCUCUCCGGACAAGUACACGUUCCCCUUUGGAUUGAGCGCGUGUGCGAAAAGUAGAACGAUUCGUGACGGGGCUCAGAUUCAUGGGUUGGUCGUUAGGAUGGAUUAUGCUAAGGAUCUGUUCGUGCAGAACUCGUUGGUUCAUUUCUACGCGGAGUGUGGAGAUCUUGUUUGUGCGCGGAAUGUGUUCGAUGAAAUGCCUCAGAGAAACGUAGUUUCUUGGACGAGUAUGAUUUGCGGUUACGCGAGGCGUGGUUUUGCUAAAGAAGCUGUUGAUUUGUUUUUCGAGAUGAUGAGAAGUGAAGACGUGAGGCCUAACUCGGUCACGAUGGUGUGUGUGAUCUCCGCUUGUGCUAAGCUUGAGGAUCUUGAAACAUGUGAAAAGGUUCAUGCUUUUAUCAGCAGUUCUGGCGUUGAAGUGAAUGAUGUUAUGGUUAGUGCUCUGGUCGAUAUGUAUAUGAAAUGUAAUGAUAAUGAUACAGCAAAACAGCUUUUUGAGCAAUACGGUGCGAGGAAUUUGGAUUUGUCCAACGCCAUGGCCUCGAAUUACGUACGCCAGGGGUUAACGAAGGAGGCUUUAGAUGUCUUGAGUCUAAUGAUGGACUCUGGUGUUAGACCUGAUAGGAUUUCAAUGUUGAGUGCUAUUUCAUCUUGUUCACAACUGAAGAACAUUCUGCUGGGAAAGAGUUGUCAUGGAUAUGUUAUGAGGAAUGGGUUUGAAAGUUGGGAUAACAUAUGUAACGCCCUGAUUGAUAUGUACAUGAAGUGUCGGAAGCAAGAUACUGCGGUUAAGAUGUUUGAUCGGAUGUUGAACAAGACAGUGGUCACGUGGAACUCAAUAAUCGCUGGAUAUAUUGAGAAUGGUGAUGUGGAUGCAGCUUGGGAAACAUUCAACACCAUGCCUGAGAAGAACAUUGUUUCUUGGAACACGAUCAUUGGCGGUUUGGUUCAAGAAGGCAUGUUCGAGGAAGCGAUUGAAGUUUUCCGGUCUAUGCAAGGCCAAGAGGGUGUUGAUGCGGAUGGAGUGACAAUGAUGAGCAUUGCAUCUGCUUGUGGGCACUUGGGAGCUCUUGAUCUUGCAAAGUGGAUAUAUUACUACAUUGAGAAGAACGGGACUCAGCUUGAUGUCAGACUUAGUACCAGUUUAGUGGAUAUGUUUUCCAGGUGUGGGGAUCCGGAAACAGCAAUGUCAAUAUUCAAUGGUUUAGCUAACAGAGAUGUCUCGGCUUGGACAGUUGCUAUAAGAGCAAUGGCUAUGUCGGGAAACGCUGAGCGGGCCAUAGAGCUUUUCGAUGAGAUGAUUGAACAAGGUUUGAAACCAGAUGGGGUAGUGUUUGUUGGAGCAUUGACAGCAUGUAGCCAUGGUGGAUUGGUCCAACAAGGUAAGGAGAUCUUCGAGUCAAUGAAGAAACUUCACGGAGUUUCUCCAGAAGACGUGCACUAUGGAUGCAUGGUUGAUCUGCUUAGUCGAGCAGGAUUGUUAGAGGAAGCUAUGCAACUCAUAAAGUCCAUGCCUUUGGAGCCAAACGAUGUGAUUUGGAACUCUCUUUUAGCCGCUUGUCGUGUUCACGGCAAUGUGGAGAUGGCUGCUUAUGCAGCUGCAAAGAUACAAGUCUUGGCUCCAGAGAGAACUGGGAGUUAUGUGCUUUUGUCAAAUGUUUACGCAUCAGCUGGAAGAUGGAACGAUGUGGCAAAAGUGAGGCUGAGUAUGAAGGAGAAAGGGUUACGCAAACCACCAGGAACUAGUCUAAUAGAGAUUCGAGGCAAGACUCAUGAGUUCACAUCAGGGGAUGAGUCACACCCGGAGAUGCGGAAAAUAGAAGCAAUGCUCGAUGAAGUUAGCCGUGAGCUAGGCCAUGUACCUGAUCUCAGCAGUGUUCUGAUGGAUGUAGAUAAGCAAGAGAAGAGAUUCAUGCUUAGCCGACACAGCGAGAAACUUGCAAUGGCCUUUGGUCUCAUUAGCUCAAACAAAGGCACAAGAAUAAGAAUAGUCAAAAACCUGAGAGUAUGUUCUGAUUGUCACUCAUUCGCAAAGUUAGCAUCCAAAGCGUAUGACAGAGAAAUCGUUCUAAGAGACAAUAACAGGUUUCAUUUCAUAAGUCAAGGCAAGUGUUCUUGUAAUGACUUCUGGUGAUUACAGAGAUGAAAGAAAAAAGCAUUCACAUUACAUUGUCUAAAAUUAAAAUAGAGAAUGACUUAGAUACAAAAAAGGUGUUUAUGAUUGUGAUAACUUGGGAAUGAUUGGAUCAAUCAACAUGUGAUACGUAGGAUCAGAACCCCAAAGCUCAGCAAUCUGAGGAUGAGAAGAAGUGAGCCGAUGAAUCUCCUCGACGAGCCAGAUGGUAGCUUCAGCUUUAGAAGGAUGAAUGAUCAAAUCCAAGCUCUGAUCUUCAGAAUCACUACCCAGUCUCGCUUGAUCCCAACGCUGUAACAAAGCGUUCGUGAGGUAAUGCAAAGGCUGACCAUAAAGCUCCUUGAUCGACAUGGCUAACCCGACCCAGCUCGUGAACGGGAUCAAAGAACCGCGGCUAGUCGGAAGAGGAAGCUCCUUCAUGUAGCCUUGAUACGUCUCUGCUCUUAUCAGCAGCGAAACUGAUGCAAAAGAUUGAAACUUUUUGGGUCAGGAACGGUGGAAAAGGAGAGAGACAAUGAAUCACAUUACCUUCGUCUUCGGCGACCGUAUGAGGUCUAUCGGUCGGCAAAAAGCCAUCGCCGUCGCUGAUCUCAGCUUCGACAUCAGAGGAGCUAGAGUCGUCUGAUGCUCGUGGAUUCAUAGUCACGUCACUCUGCAUGGUCCCAAACGAGCAGUGAGAUUAUCUGAGAACGUACGACGGCACCACGAGGCCCCUUAACGCUAGGGCUUUUAAGGGAAGAAGACGAAGAGGGAUAACUUGUACACGUGUCAGUUAAAACGUCACUUGUUGUUGUCAGUUGUGUUGCGUGAGGUAACCAAAAAUCCAAAAUUGAAAUUGAAUUAAAGUAAACCGAUAAACCGGAUUUAACCCGGCGUAAACCAGCAAGCUUUAAUCGUAUUUGAUACAAGCUUAACCCUUUUCAACUUGUUUCUUCUUCUUCUUCCUCUCGCGCCGUCGUUCAUUCUCUCUAAAACACUUCUCAAGCAAAGUUGUUCAAUCUUCUUCGUUUCGUUGUUAACUGUAAGCUUUCUUCUUCUCCUUGAAUGGUUUAUUUCAAUCUCAGAGCAUUAUCGUCUUAGUAAUAGACUGUAAUAGACGUAACCUAGGUUAAUAAAGCUAUAAUAUUUCGUCCUUAGAUUGUGAUAUUGAAGGUCACAGAACCAGUUAGAUACAAACCCUAAUUCAAAGAUUGGUCCUUUAUUGAGUUUUCAGCUUCUACCAGUUGGUUAAGAGUCUGAAUGUCAAAACCCUAGUUCAAAGAUUGAACCUUUAUUGAUUAAGAGUCUGAAUAUGUGGAGUAGCUUGACUUUGAUUGAUUUAUUGUUGUUGUUAUGUUCCUGUCUUGAUUCUGAACCUGAUUGUUUUUAAUCAAAUUUGGAGCAGAUGUCGUUUGAAGAUGAUUUUGUGGAAGACGAUGAGAUGAACAUGAUUGAUGAAGACGUAGCAUCUGACUCCGAAGCAGAGUCUUUGUCAGAUUCCGAUUCAGAAAACGCGAUCACUGAGAAGCUACCUGAGCCGACAAAGACUGCUGUCUACAACAGAGAUGGGCUUCUUGAUAAGCUUCAAGACAUAAGCUGGCCAGAAGAUGCUGAUUGGACUCAUAAGCUCACCGUCGAGAUUGAGCAAGGACAAGCCGUUGAUGUAAACGACGACCUCGCUAGAGAGAUGGCCUUCUACACUCAAGCACUCGAAGGGACGAGGCAGGCUUUCGAGAAGCUCCAGGAGAUGGGACUGCCUUUCCUAAGGCCGGCGGAUUACUACGCGGAGAUGGUGAAAUCAGAUACGCACAUGGAGAAGGUGAAGUCUAAGCUUCUGUACGAGAAG